rnacentral:rRNA from 1 species
UACGGAGAAUGCGAGCGUUAUCCGGAUUUAUUGGGUUUAAAGGGUGCGUAGGCGGACUGUCAAGUCAGCGGUAAAAUUGAGAGGCUCAACCUCUUCCCGCCGUUGAAACUGGUGGUCUUGAGUGGAUGAGAAGUACGCGGAAUGCGUGGUGUAGCGGUGAAAUGCAUAGAUAUCACGCAGAACUCCGAUUGCGAAGGCAGCGUACCGGCAUCCAACUGACGCUGAGGCACGAAAGCGUGGGGAUCAAACAGG